AUUGAACGCUGGCGGCAUGCCUAACACAUGCAAGUCGAACGAGUGGCGGACGGGCUAGUAAUGUCUGGGAAACUGCCUGAUGGAGGGGGAUACCUACUGGAAACGGUAGCUAAUACCGCAUACCAUCGGAUGUGCCCAGAUGGGAUUGGCUAGUAGGUGGGGUAAAGGCUCACCUAGGCGACGAUCCCUAGCUGUUCUGAGAGGAUGAACAGCCACACUGGAACUGAGAAACGGGCCAGACGCCUACGGGAGGCAGCAGGAGGGAAUAUUGCUCAAUGGGCGCAAGCCUGAUGCAGCCAUGCCGCGUGUGUGAAGAAGGCCUUCGGGUUGUAAAGUACUUUCAGCGGGGAGGCGUUACCCACAGAGGAAGCACCGGCUAACUCCGUGCCAGCAGCCGCGGUAAUAG
rnacentral:rRNA from 1 species